AGCAAAGAGUUAAGUGUUGUCUUUUUCUAUAAACUUAAGCAUGCAUCAUAUUUUUAAGACACAACUUUACUGGAAGUGUUUGCUUAAAUGAGGUAAAAAACAAGGGAUGCGAUAUGAAUGAGAGGGAAUUUGUAUGCAUUUCUCAAUGGCAACAGCACACAUUUUAAAGGAUUACACUGUAGCAUUAACAAAAGCUUUUCCAAAUGAAUACGUUUGUGAAAACACAUUCAAGAUAAUUAAAAUAGUCCAUAUAUUUCUGUGGCCAAAUGUACAUUAAAAAAUAAAUUUUUAGAAAUGGCAUAAAAUAAACAAUUUCAUUACAGCACUAACUUAGCUGGUUUAAAAAAACAAAACAAAACAAACAAACCACUCCAGCUCUUGACAAACUUGAAUUAUAACCAAUUACAGAGAACUAUCCCAAACAGCAACCAAGGUUCAACACUCCACUACUAAAAUUAGGGUGCAAAGCUUCAUCAGUUGUUUGUAUUUAUAAGGAAUUCUCAGUACUGCAAAAUACUGACAGCUCAAAAUAUUUCAGAAGCUUAAAGGAACACUCCACCACAAUAUCAGCCACAUAACAUCAUCUUCAAGAACUUGUCAUGGGGCUUGGAGUCCCCCUGCACUGUCUUACCUUAUGUUGCACAGUUUUUCAUAUGUUUUAACAUCGAAUUUCUGUCCCUGGGUGCAGUCACACCGCAUCCUAAGGUAAGAUUGCAUUCAGGGACUCUAGGCCUCAUGUUAACUGAGAUGUAGUUGCUAAGGGGUGGAAUGGCCAUUUAAACCAGGAAAGGGCAUGUUCGAACACUGUUACUUGCUUUACAAGAUGUUCAACCCUUCAAAUCAGCUGAAGCUCCCAUUAAAAAAGCAAGCCAAUUUGAUAUAAGAAGAAUAAUUUUGUAGUAAUAAUUGCCUUUAUUGCGUUUCGCUACAUUGAUUUUGGGCUACUACAUCCAUUUGAGGCAUUCAUGUACACUGCUUUUAAAAUGCAAAUUACUGAAGAUAUUUGGAAUGGGGUAACAUUUAACUAAAUCAUGAAAAGUAUUUAAUGUAAAAAAAAUUCCUAAAGAAAGCAUCCAUCAAACCUUUCAUGUAACAUGCAUUGCUUUCUCGUGCAGUACACAUUUGGAGUUUACAUUUCUUACAACUGUGUUCAGUUAUCUAUAAAACACGACUGAUGAGGAGUGACAGGAUGAUGUGAAAAUAACAAGAAAUUAUUAGUUCCAGUUCACUUCCACAAUGCAAGCGACGCAUCAAAUGAAACAAACAGAAAUCUAAAAAAAAAUCACUGUGUGUGAACGCAAUCCAAACCUCAUAGCAUUCAUUCUGAAAGGAUGUUGGCAGUGUUCGGGAAGUAGACAGAGG